CCUACGGGAGGCAGCAGUGGGGAAUUGUUCGCAAUGGGCGCAGGCCUGACGACGCAACGCCGCGUGGAGGAUGAAGAUCUUCGGGUCGUAAACUCCUUUCGAUCGAGACGAACGGCCUCCGGGUAAACAAUCCGGAGGAGUGACGGUACCGAGAGAAGAAGCCCCGGCUAACUCCGUGCCAGCAGCCGCGGUAAU
rnacentral:rRNA from 1 species